rnacentral:misc_RNA from 1 species
AGGUGCUUUGCCGUAUGUUUGAAGCCAUCGCAUGCAGAUAUCUUGGAGGUUCUAGAUCUUAGGAAAAACCAUGGAAAGGAUUCUUUCAAUAGGAAAACCAACCAGCAGAAUUGGGGCACUGGAAAGUCCUCAAACCUGUGCCCUGAGAUUAUUGAGGUCACAAGUCCAAUGAAAACUGCAGUUUGCAGUCUGGCAUCCAUUGCUCUACCAUGAUAUGUCAGGGAAAGGGGGGAGCUGAUUGAGUCCAUUCCUCUAAGCUGGUUGGAGUGCAGGGUCUUGCAGAUAUUUUUAUUCUGCUUGGCAUGCCGUUUGUUUCACCAGAUGUAUUAACUUGCUCCUGCUGCAAAUGAUUAAGCGUUGAUUCCUUGGCUUAGUUUGACUGGGUGCUUGGUCUGUUUCAUACAGGCCCAAAAGCUAAACAGACAUAUUUUAGACUAAUGUACUACCAUGCGCUGAAAUCUUCUUCUGAGUUGGCUGCGAAAAAUGGUCCAUAUGAGACAUAUCUUGGGAGCCCUGUGAGCAAGGUCUGGAUCUCUUAGCUUUUCAAUUUUCAUGAAAUUAUGCCAAAGGGAUAUGCAAAAGAUGGAAAAUCACAGUGUCAUAUUGUUAAUACUUAGAAGAUGUUCUACUCUGUAUUGUAUACCUUGACAUAAUUCUGACCAACACCAGUCAGAAAACUCUCAGGGCAAUGAGGUUGAGCCUUAAAGUU